AAUGGGCGAAAGCCUGACGGAGCGACGCCGCGUGGAGGACGAAGGCAUUAGUGUUGUAAACUCCUGUCACGAAUUAUGAAGCACGUAGGUUAAUGCGUGCGUGUUGACUAAGUUCGAGAGGAAGCACCGGCUAACGCUGUGCCAGCAGCCGCGGUAAUACAGAGGGUGCAAACGUUGUUCGGAAUCACUGGGCAUAAAGCGCGCGUAGGCGGCCUGUUAAGUGUGAAGUGAAAGCCCACGGCUCAACCGUGGAACUGCUUUGCAUACUGGCAAGCUCGAGGACGGUAGGGGAGAGCGGAACUCUUGGUGGAGCGGUGAAAUGCGUAGAUAUCAAGAGGAGCACCGAUGGCGAAGGCAGCUCUCUGGUCCGUUUCUGACGCUGAGGUGCGAAAGCUAGGGUAGCGAACGGGAUU
rnacentral:rRNA from 1 species